GAGGCUGUGCAGGGGAUGAGGACAAGGAUCCUUGGGGUGAAGGAAGAGAAGAGCAAUUUUAGGUUUUGCUAAUUUUGUAACCCUGGCUCCAAGCCAGCCCUUACAGGAAGUCACCCUGGCCUCCGGCUCAAUUCAGCACGUGAUAGGGAAGCCACAUUUAUGCAGAGCAGGGAACGAGGUAAGGAAAUGGAAGUGGGGCUGUGGUGAAGUGGGCAAGUCUAGAGAGAGUCCCGCUGCCUGGGGCUGUUCCUAACAGCUGCUGGGAGCGAGCUGCAGGUGUGGUGCCUGGCAGGGUGGCCGGGCUGUCUGACUCUGGAUUUCACUCCAAGCUAGGCUGCUGCCUGAAGGAUUCCUCUUACCCACCUUUGCCUGGGCUGGCCUUUGGGACUUACAUGGCUAUGAGGCGUGCCACGGUGGUCUUGAACCGGUCAAAGAUGUAGCCAGUGGGGAAUGUCAUGAAGUUGUUCAUGAAGGACCCCAGGGUGAAGAUGAGUGAGAACCUCUCAUCCUGGGCUUUGCAGUCUGGAGUAGAAAAAAGGUCUCCCAUGCAUCCCAGCCUUCCUGCCAAAUGAGCACACAGGCUGGGCUCCCCUCCACCUCAGACAGCUUGUCGGUCGCAAACUUGUCCCUUAAGCUGAGUUGAAAUGUGGCUGCCCCUAAUUACCCCUCAGGAGCUGGUGCCUCCCUCCCAGGCACUUCCCAGAUCAAGUGGGGUGAGAGCUGCUGACCCUUCCUCUCAUCAUAGAAAGAGGGGUGGGCAGGGGGCAGAGUCCUUCCUGCUCCUUGCCACCACGUGGGAGCCAGACUUAACUUCCUUAGAAAAGUCAUCCCUGCCCUUACCAGCCUGCCCUGUGGCAUUGCCAAUCGGCCCAGCAUCUGGUCCACACAGAUCCUUAAAGUAAUCUUCAUUCUUGAAGACAAACACUAGUGAAGGCCAGCCAAAGAGGACGCCAGCAAAGCCCAGGCAUUCCAGCAGCCCAGUCAGCAGUGUGGCCACGUGCAGGGGCAGGCCCUGGCCCGCCAUGAGCAGAAGUGGAGUGGAUCUUCAAAUCCCACUUUGUCCUCCUGGACGGAUCACAGGCGCCGUAAGCCUGGCGUUUGAGCACUUGGAAAAUUCCUCUGGCAAGCCAAGCCCUUCCUUUCCCGUAGCUCUCUGGUUGUUUCAGGCCUGGGCAAAAACCAUCAGCGGGUGAUUCUCUGGAUCCUGUAGAAUAAAGAUAGAGGCUGCUGGAAGAGGAGGCCUGCGGGAAAGGGAAAGGUAGACUAGAGUUAUUUGUGAGGUGCAUUAAGAGGCAGGAUGAUCAUGGCCGCUGGCAGCAAAUGUGGGGAAUAAAUACUCCAAUACAUCAUCUUAGGCACUGCAUUUGAGUAACCACGUGGCAAGUAGAGAGGCAGGUCUUGAUGGCCACCUGGAGUCACAGGUGAGAUAAACGACUUACCCAAUAGCUCCCCGGGAGCAGGUGGAGAAGCGGAGCUCCUGCGCUCGAAUUCUGAAUACCGUCCCCUAAAAUAAUGACAGCAACUCAACCAGGUGCAGAGGCAGGGAGAUUUCAUACAGAAGACACAAACUCCCGCUGCCAAGUUGGUGUUAUCUUCAGUUUACUGACAAUGAAACAAAAGCUCCCAUGGAUUUCAGGAACUUGCCCAAGGUCAC
rnacentral:lncRNA from 1 species